UCCCCGAGUAGCGGCGAGCGAAAGGGGACCGAUGGCCAAACCGUCGAGCGGGCAUACCCGGCAGGGGUUCCGCCGACGGGGUUGCAGGGCCGCGCAUCCGGGGGCUGCCGCCCCCGGGCGCAGGUCCGGCUGGGGAGCGGAACGGCAUGGGAGGGCCGGCCGCAGCGGGUGACAGCCCCGUACGCGAACCCAGACCGGACGGCGCGACGCGGUCCCUGAGUAGGGCCGGGCACGUGAAACCCGGUCCGAACCUGGGUGGACCACCAUCCAAGCCUGAGUACUACCCUGUGACCGAUAGCGCACCAGUACCGUGAGGGAAAGGUGAAAAGCACCCCGGGAGGGGAGUGAAACAGUACCUGAAACCGUGCGCCCACGAGCAGUCGGAGCAACUUUUAGUUGUGACGGCGUGCCUUUUGUAGAAUGAGCCAGCGAGUCGCUGGCGCGGGGCGAGGUUAACCGAAAGGGAGCCGGAGCGAAAGCGAGCCUUAACAGGGCGACUUGAGUCCCGCGCCGCGGACGCGAAGCCGGGUGAGCUAUCCGUGGGCAGGCUGAAGCGGGGGUAAGACCCCGUGGAGGGCCGAACGCACGUCGGUUGAAAACGGCGGCGAUGACCUGCGGAUAGGGGUGAAAGGCCAAUCAAACCCGGAGAUAUCUCGUUCUCCCCGAAAUAGCUUUAGGGCUAGCGUCGCGCGUUCACCGCCGGAGGUAGAGCACCGGAUGGACGAGGGGGCUUCGCCGCCUACCGAAUCCAACCGAACUCCGAAUGCCGGCGGCCCAGAGCGCGGCAGUCAGAGCAUGUGGGCUAAGCUGUGUGCUCGAGAGGGAAACAGCCCGGACCGCCCGCUAAGGUCCCCAAGUUCCAGCCGAGUGGCAAAGGAUGUGCGUCCGCCCAGACAACCAGGAUGUUGGCUUAGAAGCAGCCAUCCAUUCAAAGAGUGCGUAACAGCUCACUGGUCGAGUGGACAUGCGCCGACAAUACACGGGGCUAAGCUGGACACCGAAGCGGCGGGAUUUUGAUUUUCAGAAUCGGUAGGGGAGCUUCCCAUGGGCGGAGAAGCCGGAGGGCGACCGACGGUGGAGCGCAUGGGAGUGAGAAUGCUGGCAUGAGUAGCGAGAGACGAGAGAGUAACUCGUCCGCCGUGAACCCGAGGUUUCCUGGGCAAGGCUAAUCCUCCCAGGGUCAGUCGGGGGCUAAGGCGAGGCCGGUAGGCGUAGCCGACGCGCAGCAGGCAGACAUUCCUGCACCGCGCACGCGGCGCUACGACCGACGGGGCGACGGAUGGGGGUGGCUCGGCGGGGUUCUGGACGUCCCCGUGAUGGAGCGCGGCCCGCGGACCAGGGAAAUCCGGUCCGCACGAAGGGCGAGGCUCCGGACGAAGCGACUGAGCGAAGCGAGUGAGCCCGAGGUCCCUAGAAAACCCCUAGGCAGGCGCGUGCGCGCCCGUACCGCAAACCGACACAGGUGGGUGGGUAGAACAUACCGAGGCGAUCGGGUCAACCAUGGUCAAGGAACUCGGCACAAUGGCCCCGUAACUUCGGGAGAAGGGGUGCCCGCGCGUACGUGAACGGACUUGCUCCGGGAGCGGAGGCGGGCCGCAGUGGAGAGGCCCAAGCGACUGUUUACCAAAAACACAGGACUCUGCAGAAGCCGCAAGGCGACGUAUAGGGUCUGACGCCUGCCCGGUGCCGGAAGGUCACGCGGAGGAGUUAGCCAUUUCGGCGAAGCCCCGAAGCCAAGCCCCGGUAAACGGCGGCCGUAACUAUAACGGUCCUAAGGUAGCGAAAUUCCUUGUCGGGUAAGUUCCGACCUGCACGAAAGGCGCAACGACUUGGGCGCUGUCUCGACCAUGGACCCGGUGAAAUUGCACUGGUCGUGAAGAUGCGACUUACCCGCGGAAGGACGGAAAGACCCCGUGAACCUUCACUGCAGCUUGGCAUUGGCCGCUGGUCCCGCGUGUAGAGGAUAGGCAGGAGGCAUCGAUCCGGAGGCGCCAGCCCCGGGGAGCCGCCCUUGGAAUACUGCCCUCGCGCGACCGGCGUCCUAACCCGAGGCCGUCAACCGGCUCGGGGACCGUGCCAGGCGGGCAGUUUGACUGGGGCGGUCGCCUCCUUAAAGGGUAACGGAGGCGCGCGAAGGUCCGCUCGGGACGGUCGGCAACCGUCCUUUUUGAAUGCAAGAGUACAAGCGGGCUUGACUGCGAGGCCCACAAGCCGAGCAGGUGCGAAAGCAGGCUCUAGUGAUCCGGCGGCCCCGAGUGGGUGGGCCGUCGCUCAACGGAUAAAAAGGUACUCCGGGGAUAACAG
rnacentral:rRNA from 1 species